UGCAAGUCGAACGAAGUCUUCGGACUUAGUGGCGCACGGGUGAGUAACAUGUGGGAAUCUGCCUGAAGGUUCGGAAUAACUACGGGAAACUGUAGCUAAUACCGGAUGUGUCUGUAAAGAGAAAGAUUUAUCGCCUUCAGAUGAGCCCGCACUAGAUUAGCUAGUUGGUGAGGUAACUGCUCCACCAAGGCUACGAUCUAUAGCUGAUUUGAGAGGAUGAUCAGCCACACUGGGACUGAGACACGGCCCAGACUCCUACGGGAGGCAGCAGUAGGGAAUAUUGGACAAUGGGGGAAACCCUGAUCCAGCAAUGCCGCGUGAGUGAAGAAGGCCUUCGGGUUGUAAAACUCUUUCAUCAAUGAUGAUAAUGACAUUAGUUGAAGAAGAAGCUCCGGCUAACUUCGUGCCAGCAGCCGCGGUAAUACGAAGGGGGCUAGCGUUGUUCGGAAUCACCGGGCGUAAAGCGUAUGUAGGCGGAUCAAAAAGUUAGAUGUGAAAUCCCUGAGCUCAACUCAGGAACUGCAUUUAAAACUAGUGAUCUAGAAAUUGGUAAGGGUUAGUAGAAUUUCCAGUGUAGAGGUGAAAUUCGUAGAUAUUGGAAAGAAUACCAGUGGCGAAGGCGACUAACUAGGCCAUUUUUGACGCUGAGAUACGAAAGCGUGGGUAGCAAACAGGAUUAGAUACCCUGGUAGUCCACGCAGUAAACGAUGAGUGCUAGUCGCUGGGACAUUAGUUUCAGUGUCGAAGCUAACGCAUUAAGCACUCCGCCUGGGAAGUACGGUCGCAAGAUUAAACUCAAAUAAAUUGACGGGGGCCCGC
rnacentral:rRNA from 1 species